UACGUAGGGGCAGCAGUCGUCGGAUCGAAUUGUGGCGUAAAGAGCUCGUAGGCGGUCUGUUACGUCCGCUGUGAAAACCCGAGGCUCAACCUCGGGCUUGCAGUGGGUACGGGCAGACUAGAGUGCGGUAGGGGAGACUGGAAUUCCUGGUGUAGCGGUGGAAUGCGCAGAUAUCAGGAGGAACACCGAUGGCGAAGGCAGGUCUCUGGGCCGCAACUGAACGCU
rnacentral:rRNA from 1 species